GAUAGUGAGGUCACGCGUAUCCUGUGAGCAUGGUGAAGCCGCGAGACGCGAGACUCGUAUCUCGCGUCUUCGCCGCUCCACGCUCUCAGAGUUGGGCAAAGACAAGACACGUUAUUUCUGGUGCGAUACAAGAGGUUCAAUGGUUAUCUCGAUUAUCUAAACACAUUUAUUUAGGUGGUAAAGAUUUGUUUUUAAAUCUAUGAACUGAUGCUAGUCCUAUUUGGAACGAAAUGUAUUUGAAAUAAAAAAGAAUACUAAGUAAAACAAAAGUUGUCUGCAACACGAAGCAUGCCUUCGCAUUAAGACUGAGAAUCCUAAUGUUUAUCAUGAUACUUUAAUGCAUAUGUUCGAAUGUUCCCGAAAAUCUUCUGAUAAUCUGCCCGCACCCACCCCUCACCCCGCCCCUCGCUACUGAACCGUAUUGUUUUCACUCAGCAGCUGGUCAGCGGUCACGUUUAUGAGGUAAACAAACCGAUCGAUUCUUGACCACCGUUCUUGUCGAUCGGAAAAUCAUAAUACCAGUGUGAUAUUGCCGCGAAGAUGAAGCAGUUAUGUUAUUUGAUUCGUACUUCACAUUCGAGUCCAAGCUUGGGUGGCACAGGUUAUUUCUUGCGGUGGAAUCGACGAGGGGAAUUCAGAAAGUUGUAGUGGUUGAAUUGUUGGAAUAAAUGGUCGCAUGGGGAUGAUUUACCUGCUUGAUUUCUAUCGGUUACGCUUCAUGUUGAGAAGUCCCUCAAAAUGGCGGCAAAACUUGGAGAUUGCCGAAAAUUAGGUAAGUUCACGGAGUUAUAAAGUUCUCGUAAAGGUCGGGCCGCAAAUUUUUUUUCUGUGGCUAUCUUUGCUAUGGCACCUACUUGCUAGCUAUGUUAGUUGGAUCAGUUAAGAACGCCUCACUUUUUCAAAACUUCACCAUAAAAUUCAUCGGUUUUGGCGUGUUUGAUUUAGGCGAACCGAUAAGGUGUCAUUCAAGUCUCCGUGUUUCCUUGAUUGACACGUGAUGUUUACGAAAGUCGUCUCGAUAGAUUAGAUAGAGUUAAUACACAUGGCUGUGUUAUUUGUUUUUUGCUGAGUUCCGUAGUUUUUUGUAAAUUGUCCUCCAAAGUUGUAUGAAAUUAAAGUCUUGAAAAGUGUCACGACAA